rnacentral:lncRNA from 1 species
CCCAUCCAAAAAUGAAAUACUUGCAGUAUGGGAUUGCAAAUAUUUUUCUGUUGCUUGUUUUCUUCCUUUGCAAUUUUCUUCCAGAAUUUCGAUAAAUCUUCUUCCACUUCUCCAUAUAUUGGGGCUUUUGGAUUGAAACCCAGAAGUGUUGUGAUUGCUCCAUAUGCAAUAAUCUUCACUUCAUCAUUUAUUCUAAAGGAUAGGGAUGGAAUUUCUUCAUUUGUCUCCUCGUUCCAUUACAUGACCUUUUUCAUGGUCAUGAACAUCUCCACGGCCACAUCCUUAUGUACACUGACAGGGCCAUUAAGAGCAAAUUGCAUCCACCCAAUAUUUCCCAGGAGCUUGUAAAUAUCAUUAUGAAAUCCAAUAUCCUGAAGAAAGUCAUUGUCAAAAUCAUGGUUGGCGACGAUUUUCCCUUCAAUAUUCUUCAACCGCUCUUCCUCUUCC